GCUGACACAUCCCUGCCAAUCUCCGGCAGACCCUCCCUCCCAGACCCUCCUACUUCCUGGACAGCAUCCAUGUUGAAGGCAGCUUCAACAUGGAUGCUGUCCAGGAGGUGGGAGGGUCUUGGAGGGAGGGUCUGCCGGAGAUUGGCAGGGAUGUGUCAG